rnacentral:miRNA from 1 species
CGAUCGCACCUUUGGCCGGCCGG